rnacentral:rRNA from 1 species
AAUGAACGCCGGCGGCAGGCCUAACACACGCAAGUCGAACGAGGCAGCAAUGCCUAGUGGCGGACGGGUGAGUAACGCGUGGGAACGUGCCCCUUGGUACGGAAUAGCCCUGGGAAACUGGGAGUAAUACCGUAUGUGGUCGAGAGACGAAAGAUUUAUCGCCAAGGGAUCGGCCCGCGUUGGAUUAGGUAGUUGGUGGGGUAAUGGCCUACCAAGCCGACGAUCCAUAGCUGGUUUGAGAGGAUGAUCAGCCACACUGGGACUGAGACACGGCCCAGACUCCUACGGGAGGCAGCAGUGGGGAAUCUUAGACAAUGGGGGAAACCCUGAUCUAGCCAUGCCGCGUGAUCGAUGAAGGCCUUAGGGUUGUAAAGAUCUUUCAGGUGGGAAGAUAAUGACGGUACCACCAGAAGAAGCCCCGGCUAACUCCGUGCCAGCCGCCGCGGUAA